rnacentral:rRNA from 1 species
GCCUACGGGGCGCAGCAGUGAGGAAUAUUGGUCAAUGGGCGCGAGCCUGAACCAGCCAAGUCGCGUGAGGGAAGACGGUCCUAUGGAUUGUAAACCUCUUUUGUCGGGGAGCAAAAGACGCCACGCGUGGCGUUCCGAGAGUACCCGAAGAAAAAGCAUCGGCUAACUCCGUGCCAGCAGCCGCGGUAAUACGGAGGAUGCGAGCGUUAUCCGGAUUUAUUGGGUUUAAAGGGAGCGUAGGUGGAUUGUUAAGUCAGUUGUGAAAGUUUGCGGCUCAACCGUAAAAUUGCAGUUGAAACUGGCAG